rnacentral:lncRNA from 1 species
GCUUUGAAUCUCUGAACACCAAUCUCUGUUCUGAGUGGCAGAAGAGUGCCAGGACUCAAGAGCCGACACACCCGACCCGCUCAAGCCUGUCCCGGCCUCCGUUUCCCCCGGCUGGCGAUGGUCAGCAGCACUAAGCACCUAGGACUCGUGGGACAUUAAUGAGAUCGUGGGCUGGGCCUGCACCAGUGACAGCCCUGCAGCAUCAGCUGUGGGUUCCCGCAGACACAAAGUGUGUUCAGCAAGGCACUCCUAGCAGAAGGUCCCAGGAACACAGGAUGGCCGCAGCCCGCCGUGCGUUAGAACCUCGGCUCCACCCCUCCCACUCUGAAAC